rnacentral:rRNA from 1 species
GAUGAACGCUGGCGGCGUGCCUAAUACAUGCAAGUCGAGCGAACAGACGAGGAGCUUGCUCCUCUGACGUUAGCGGCGGACGGGUGAGUAACACGUGGAUAACCUACCUAUAAGACUGGGAUAACUUCGGGAAACCGGAGCUAAUACCGGAUAAUAUAUUGAACCGCAUGGUUCAAUAGUGAAAGACGGUUUUGCUGUCACUUAUAGAUGGAUCCGCGCCGCAUUAGCUAGUUGGUAAGGUAACGGCUUACCAAGGCGACGAUGCGUAGCCGACCUGAGAGGGUGAUCGGCCACACGGGAACUGAGACACGGUCAAGACUCCUACGGGAGGCAGCAGUAGGGAAUCUUCCGCAAAGGGCGAAAGCCUGACGGAGCAACGCCGCGUGAGUGAUGAAGGUCUUCGGAUCGUAAAACUCUGUUAUUAGGGAAGAACAAAUGUGUAAGUAACUAUGCACGUCUUGACGGUACCUAAUCAGAAAGCCACGGCUAACUACGUG